rnacentral:ncRNA from 2 species
CUCUUAUUCAGAGUUGGCGGAGGGACAGACCCUAUGAAACCCAGCAACCAUCACUCUUGGUGAAAAGGUGCUAAUCUGGUGCAAGGAUAUUUCCUUGAACAAUAAGAG